rnacentral:rRNA from 1 species
AUACGUAGGGGGCGAGCGUUGUCCGGAAUGAUUGGGCGUAAAGGGCGCGUAGGCGGCGCGGUAAGUCUGGAGUGAAAGUCCUGCUUUCAAGGUGGGAAUUGCUUUGGAUACUGCCGCGCUUGAGUGCAGGAGAGGUUAUCGGAAUUCCCGGUGUAGCGGUGAAAUGCGUAGAGAUCGGGAGGAACACCAGUGGCGAAGGCGGGUAACUGGACUGCAACUGACGCUGAGGUGCGAAAGUGUGGGGAGCAAACAGGAUUAGAUACCCUGGUAGUCCACGCUGUAAACGAUGAAUACUAGGUAUAGGGGGUAUAAAAUCCUUCUGUGCCGCAGUUAACACAAUAAGUAUUCCGCCUGGGGAGUACGGCCGCAAGGUUGAAACUCAAAGGAAUUGACGGGG